rnacentral:rRNA from 1 species
AACGUAGGUUCCGAGCGUUAUCCGGAUUUACUGGGCGUAAAGCGCGUUCAGGCGGUUUGGCAAGUCGGGCAUGAAAUCUCUCGGCUCAACCGGGAGAGGUUGUCCGAUACUUCCAGACUUGAGGGCAGUAGAGGGUGGUGGAAUUCCGGGUGUAGUGGUGAAAUGCGUAGAUAUCCGGAGGAACACCAGUGGCGAAAGCGGCCACCUGGACUGCACCUGACGCUGACACGCGAAAGCUAGGGGAGCGAACGGA